UAUCGGACGGCCCAGAUUAGCGCGUGAAAAUUUAAAACAAAAACGACAAACCGAACCCAGGAAAUUGGAAUAAUUAAAACACGAUUCUCCCUCCUUCUGCUUGCCACCUACUCUUCCAUGGCGGACGAAAUUUAAUCAAUUGCUCAUCUUCUUCAACUUCCUCGAUUUUUCUCGCAUAUCUCUUUAGCUUCUUUGCGAUCCUCUUCCAAUUCUCCAGGAGGUGAUUUCUAAGUAAGUGCUCGUAUUGCAAAGUGGCCCCUACGCUUAGGUAUUCAAGGAAAUUAAGGAUCACUACUACAAAAUGCGUGAUAUCUCGACGGUUUAGCCUCGAUGCUGUGGAACAUUGUCAGCGUAAAAUUUUGGUUCGUGUUAUUUCUCGACGGUAUUCUUCGUCUGAAAAUUUCUCGACUUGUAAAACCGUCGAGAAUGUCACAUGUUUAGCACGUGGUCUUAAAAAUGGAAGCGGGUUUCCCAUUUUCCCUGAUUCCAUAUUCGGGGGAAAGAAAAAUCGCCUUGGUAAACCCUAACAUGGGUUCAGUUCUCACUUCUCACUUUCUCAGUUCUCACUAACCGCCUUCAUCUCCUUCAUCGCCAUCAUCGCCUUCAUCUGCUGAGAAAUGGAAAUCGCCAUUUCUCAACGGAUUUGCAAGUUCGUUCAUCUACAAAUUCGUUUUCCUUUGCAGUUUGUAUUAUCCUCCCUCUAUUUCUCUAUCUAUCUUCUUUCGGUUCUUCAAUAUUCUGGGUACAACUUUGUGUAAUUGGGAUUUACGUUUCUAUUUGGCUGAAUUGGAGGCUCAAGGAAUAUGGAUAGGUUUGCUUUGGUAUUAAGGGACGAUGGAAAUGGAUGUGUACCAUUGGUGUGACAUCCGAUUCAUUGUGUUAAUCUCUGAGGAUUUAAGAUUCUAGCAUUCUUGCUCAAUCAAUUUGGAGGCAAAGUACCUGGCUCAAUUCCCGAGAUUAAGAAUUUUGUGUGUACAAGAUUCAAAGCUGAGUACCCCAUUUUUUAGAGUGAUACGUUAGUGAAAUCACCAACUUAGUGAAAUCACCAACUUAGAGAACCAUACUUUCCUAUUUACUAACACCAUGACCGCUAUUGCUACUGACUGCAACAACUGGACAUGAAUGGUCCAAAUACAGACAUAGUUUACAGUUCCUCAAGUUCAGUGCUGGGGGGUUUUUGGUGACUUGGUCAACUGGAAUUAUGAGAAGUUUUUGGUGGACAAAAAGGGCAAGGUUGUAGAGUGAUACACACCUACAACAUCUCUCUCGGGAUUAAGGUCUGUGAUGCGGAAAUACAAUCUUGAGCAGGUACGUGUUUUUUUAUUGUUUCAAGAAAUCAAGAAAUCUUGUGCGGAAAUACAAUCUUGAGUAGGUACGUGUCUUUUUAUUGUUUUUCAUCGAAUUUUGAUUUAUAUAUGGUGAUCCUAGUUUAAUGAUGUUACUCAUGUUGCUACAUAGUGGACAUGAUUAAUUGUCAGACAAAUUAACUUAUCUUAAAAGUGCUGUAUGGAAGCCUGAUCUUAGGAGCAACCCCUUAAUUGUUUAAUCAGUUUGAUAAACAGAAAAGCAAUUACAUUUUGCUGGUUGUAAAUUGGCUCGAUGAGAAUGUCUGUUUGAUUUUUAAGAUACUUGGUUGUUGGUACUUCCAAUAGGAUGAUUUUGAGUUAUCAGUCAGAUUCUAGUGUCCGAGUAGGGAGAUUAGUGAUGAGGUUUUCCUCCUAGCACAACCUGAUCUUUUGUUAACUAAGAAAGCUAGAAUUGAUUAAGGAAUGUGUCUUAACACUUAUUUAUCUCGAGGCUGCCUUAAAAUAUGCAUGUAUUCAUUGUUACAGCAGUGCUUACAUUUUAUACAAGAACAUGCUCAUUUUUUCUGAAUGCUCUUCUCUUUUAAGAAUCCUACAUAUAGGUCCUUCCCGCUUAAGUCACUCGAUGAGAGUCUUUGGUUUUGACCACCUUUAGACAUGCUCUUUACAAACUCUACCAAAUGCCUCCAAUUAUCUCCUUCAAACAACCUUUUGUUCAUCCUUAAAUAUAUAUGUAAAAGCACUCAAUUCACUUCGUGAGUGUGACUUGCUGGUUGCUAAAACCUGCCCAAACGCACUUGCAUCAUAUUUCUCCAAAGCAUUUUCUCCAGCAAGUUCGAUCUCUUGUAUUGUAAUAUCCUACUGUUAGAUACGUGAUGGAAAAACGAGAUCGCUACAGGAAUAUGGCUUUGGUACCGAACAAGCUUACAGUUGCAUCAGGCUUGAGGGUCAGGUCAAAAGAAACUCCAAUUUUGGCAAAUCAGUUAAUGUAAAAGGCUGAUCACAAGUCAUUUACCAUUAUGGAAUUCCUUUUAAUACCGCACUUACUUAUUUACCAUUUUGGUUGCGUGUUUCUGUCUUGUUUGGCCUGCGGCUGCACUGCCGUUUCUGCAGGUGUGCUGCACUACCGUUUCUGCAGGUGCUGCUUCUUGCUGUUGCAGGAUGUGGGUUUUGCUCCUGAUGUGUGCAGGCUGUUCUGCCGGGAGUCCAGGUGCUGCAGUCAGGUCUACAGGGAGUGUGGUGUACUGGUGUUCGAUUGUUGCUGUGUGCAAUCUUGUGUUGCGUACCCUUUUAUUGCGUUUGUUGUAUUUGGUUGUUAGGGAGUGGUCUGUACUCCUCUAAAUUUUUCUGUUGUUUCGAUGCUUUUGUUCAUACCUUUUGGUAUUAAAUUUGUGUUUUGGAGAUAUAUAGCUAACUAAUUUGAUAGUUUGGACAUGUGUAAACUUAAUUUGAUGAUAUGAUAUGAUUUGGA